rnacentral:rRNA from 1 species
GGGUUGUGAGGUUAAGCGACUAAGCGUACACGGUGGAUGCCCUGGCAGUCAGAGGCGAUGAAGGACGUGCUAAUCUGCGAUAAGCGCCGGUAAGGUGAUAUGAACCGUUAUAACCGGCGAUUUCCGAAUGGGGAAACCCAGUGUGAUUCGUCACACUAUCAUUAACUGAAUCCAUAGGUUAAUGAGGCGAACCGGGGGAACUGAAACAUCUAAGUACCCCG